rnacentral:lncRNA from 1 species
UCUCUUCUUCCAUGUCUGGAAUAUUCCUGAUGGGAAGCUGGACAUUUAGGAUGAAGCAGCAGGACUGUGUUAAGAGCUAUUCCUCCCAAAAAGCCGUGUCUUCUUCAAUAAUGCUAGAUUGUAGGUUAAACAUUUAUCAUGUUAAAAUCUGCCAUUCAUCAGGGAUCUGAAGCUGCUGGGAGAAAUGUUUCAAUAUAAAGGAGGGCCCUGAAGUGCACAGACUGUGCUUGAAAAAGUCAAGACAAGAAAGCAAGCAUGCUUUGAAUAUUUCCAAAAGAAGAUGGACAACCAAAGUCUCUAACUUUCAUAACAUUUGAAGACAUUCAAGAUAGAACAAUAACUGAAUACCUUAACUGAUGCAAAUAAUACAAAAUAUUUUUUUGCAUCACUGUGUGUAUAAAACCAGACAUUUAUUAAACACUGCAUCAAAAAUAAAAUAUGUAAAUCAUUUGCUGUUUCAGCUGACCUGAGGAGCCGGUUCAGUACCUCAUGCCCAAGGUGAUGCAAUUGUCUA